CUUUAACAAUCCGGAACAAGCUGAAAAUUGAAACGACGCGUCGUAUUCAUUCUCCGUAAUAAGAAUGAAAUCAACGAUGCGUUCGAGUCUCUCAAAUGCUCACGACAGCAAUGUGUUCCUUCGGGACGCUUGUG
rnacentral:sRNA from 1 species